AGGGCACCACCAGGAGUGGAGCCUGCGGCUUAAUUUGACUCAACACGGGAAAUCUCACCAGGCCCGGACACCGGAAGGAUUGACAGAUUGAGAGCUCUUUCUUGAUUCGGUGGGUGGUGGUGCAUGGCCGUUCUUAGUUGGUGGAGCGAUUUGUCUGGUUAAUUCCGAUAACGAACGAGACUCUGGCCUAUUAACUAGACGUUAGAUCCUUUAUGGGUUUGACGAUGCUUCUUAGAGGGACGGGCGGCUUUUAGCCGCACGAGAAUGAGCAAUAACAGGUCUGUGAUGCCCUUAGAUGUUCUGGGCUGCACGCGCGCUACACUGAAGAAAUCAGCGUGUGUUCCCUAUCCGAAAGGAUUGGGAAACCCGUUGAACCUUCUUCGUGAUGGGGAUUGGGGAUUGCAAUUAUUCCCCAUGGACGAGGAAUUCCCAGUAGGCGCGAGUCAUAAGCUUGCGUCGAUUACGUCCCUGCCCUUUGUACACACCGCCCGUCGCUACUACCGAUCGAGUGAUUUAGUG
rnacentral:rRNA from 1 species